rfam:Candidatus Methanomethylophilus alvus Mx1201, complete genome.
GCUGGGAUAGUAUAGCCUGGUUAGUAUAGGGGACUGUGGAUCCCUUGACUCGAGUUCAAAUCUCGGUCCCGGCC